rnacentral:rRNA from 1 species
AGCUCCAAUAGCGUAUAUUAAAGUUGUUGCGGUUAAAAGCUCGUAGUUGGAUUUCUGUUGAGGGCGUCCGGUCCGCACUUUGUGCGUGUAUCUGGUUCGGCCUUGGCAUCCUCUUGGAGAUUGUGGCUGCGCUUGAUUGCGUGGUCCGGGAUUCAAGACUUUUACUUUGAGGAAAUUAGAGUGUUCACGGCAGGCAAACGCCUUGAAUACAUUAGCAUGGAAUAAUAAUAUAGGACCUUGGUUCUAUUUUGUUGGUUUCUAGAACUAAGGUAAUGAUUAAUAGGGAUAAUUGGGGGCAUUUGUAUUAACACGUCAGAGGUGAAAUUCUUGGAUUGUGUUACGACAAACUACUGCGAAAGCAUUUGCCAAGGAUGUUUUCA